rnacentral:rRNA from 1 species
GAUUAACGCUAGCGGCAGGCCUAAUACAUGCGAGUUGAACGGGAUUGAUUGUAGCAAUACGGUCAUGAGAGUAGCGCAUGGGUGCGUAACACGUAUGCAACCUACCUAUAACUGGGGAAUAGCCUCCCGAAAGGGAGAUUAAUACCGCAUAAUAUUAUUUAAUGGCAUCAUUUGAUAAUUAAACCUCAGGGGGUUAUAGAUGGGCAUGCGUCCGGUUAGCUAGUUGGUGAGGUAAUGGCCAACCAAGGCUACGAUCGGUAGGGGGUCUGAGAGUAUGAUCCCCCACACUGGUACUGGGACACGGACCAGACUCCUACGGGAGGCAGCAGUAAGGAAUAUUGGACAAUGGGCGCAAGCCUGAUCCAGCCAUGCCGCUUGAAGGAUGAAGGCCCUAUGGGUCAUAAACUUCUUUUAAACGGGACGAAACCCCUCGAGGUGUCGAGUGCUGACGGUACCGUAAGAAUAAGGGUCGGCUAACUUCGUGCCAGCAGCCGCCGUAA